rnacentral:rRNA from 1 species
AACGAACGCUGGCGGCAGGCCUAACACAUGCAAGUCGAGCGCGCCCUUCGGGGUGAGCGGCGGACGGGUGUGUAACGCGUGGGAACGUGCCCUUCUCUGCGGAAUAGCCUCGGGAAACUGAGAGUAAUACCGCAUACGCCCUUUGGGGGAAAGAUGUAUCGGAGAAGGAUCGGCCCGCGUUGGAUUAGGUUGUUGGUGGGGUAAUGGCCCACCAAGCCGGCGAUCCAUAGCUGGUUUGAGAGGAUGGUCAGCCACACUGGGACUGGGACACGGCGCAGACUCCUACGGAAGGCAGCAGUGGUGAAUCUUAGACAAUGGGGGCGACCCGGAUCUAGCCAUGCCGCGUAAGUGAUGAAGGCCUUAGGGAUGUAAAGCUCUUUCAGCUGGGAAGAUAAUGACGGAACCAGCAGAAGAGGCCCCGGCUAACUCCGU